rnacentral:rRNA from 1 species
CUAAGAAUAUUCCGCAAUGGACGGAAGUCUGACGGAGCGACGCCGCGUGGAUGACGAAGGCCGAAAGGUUGUAAAGUUCUUUUGCUGGGGAAGAAUAACCGCAGGAGGGAAUGCCUGUGGGAUGACAAGAACCGGCGAAUAAGCCCCGGCCAACUACGUGCCAGCAGCCGCGGUAACACGUAGGGGGCGAGCGUUGUUCGGAAUUACUGGGCGUAAAGGGCAUGUAGGCGGCUUGGAAAGCCUGGCGUGAAAGUCUGCAGCUUAACUGCAGGGGUGCGCUGGGAACUGCUGAGCUUGAGUGACGGAGAGGGAGCUGGAAUUCCUGGUGUAGGGGUGAAAUCUGUAGAUAUCAGGAAGAACACCGAUGGCGAAGGCAAGCUCCUGGCCGAUGACUGACGCUGAGGUGCGAAAGUGUGGGGAUCAAAACAGGAUUAGAUACCCUGGUAGUCCACACAGUCAACGAUGUGCACUAGGUGCUGGGGCGGUAGCUUCGGUGCCGGAGCGAACGUGGUAAGUGCACCGCCUGGGGAGUAUGCUCGCAAGGGUGAAACUCAAAUGAAUUGACGGGGGUCAUA